GACGAACGCUGGCGGCGUGCUUAAUACAUGCAAGUCGAGCGGCGCGGCGAACGGGUGAGUAUCGCGAGAGUAACUGCCCCCCUCUCUGGGCUAACAGUUGGAAACGGCUGCUAAUACCAGUUCGUGGGGGUUGCCUCGCGUCCAAUCAGCUUGUUGGUGGGGUAGUGGCGUACCAAGGGGACGACGGGUAGCCGGCCUGGGAGUGAGACCGGCCACAGUGGGCACGGGUACGAGCCAUACUGCUACUGGAGGCAUGGGUGGGGAUCAGUGCGCAAUAGGGGAAACCCUGAUGCAGCAUCGCCGCGUGCGGGAUGACUGUUUUCGGGUUAGAAACCGCUUUGAGCCAUGACGCGGUAGUGGCAGAAGAAGCACCGGCUAACUACGUGCCAGCAGCCGCGGUAAUAC
rnacentral:rRNA from 1 species